ACCUGUUUUGAUUAUGUUGGCAAAAACCUUUUACUAAUGUUGUCCUUUUGUCGGGAGUUGCCAUCCUUUUAUUUUCAAUCUCGAUCAUGCGAAGUUCUUCGAUUUUGUCUUCUUGUAAGUAUUUGAGUGCCAAAGUUUUUGUCUGUAAAUAGCCUAGAACAAUUAGCAUUCACACUUCCCCUAUCACUACAAAAUUGGAGUGAUUCUGAAUUUUGGCUUCUAAUGGAGGAACAAGGCUGUUGAUCUAUCACUUUCUUGUUCUGAUCUAUAUCACAAUGUCAAUAGUGACAGCCAUUUUAGGCGUGGAAAAUAACUAGCAACUGAGUCUAUGUUAAGGUAGUAAUGCUAGAAAGUGGGAGCCAAGACUUUUGCGGUGCAAUUGAAUAAUGUAGGUCUCACCCUUGCAGUGGCAAACGUAGUUGUUAGACUAAACCCAAUAAUUUUUAUACAUGA
rnacentral:lncRNA from 1 species